rnacentral:rRNA from 1 species
UGGAUCCAGACUUUGAUCAUGGCUCAGGACGAACGCUGGCGGCGUGCCUAACACAUGCAAGUCGAACGGAGCUCCGCCCUUCGGGACGGAACUUAGUGGCGAACGGGUGAGUAACGCGUGAAGAACCUGCCUUUCAGUGGGGGACAACAGUCGGAAACGACUGCUAAUACCGCAUGAUGUUCUUUGGGGGCAUCUCUAAGGAACCAAAGCUUAAUGUGCUGAAAGAUGGCUUCGCGUCUGAUUAGCUAGUUGGCGGGGUAACGGCCCACCAAGGCGACGAUCAGUAGCCGGUCUGAGAGGAUGAACGGCCACAUUGGGACUGAGAUACGGCCCAGACUCCUACGGGAGGCAGCAGUGGGGAAUAUUGGGCAAUGGGGGAAACCCUGACCCAGCAACGCCGCGUGAAGGAAGAAGGCCUUCGGGUUGUAAACUUCUUUUACCAGGGACGAAGGACGUGACGGUACCUGGAGAAAAAGCAACGGCUAACUACGUGCCAGCAGCCGCGGUAAUACGUAGGUUGCAAGCGUUGUCCGGAUUUACUGGGUGUAAAGGGCGUGUAGGCGGAGGCGCAAGUUGGGAGUGAAAUCUAUGGGCUCAACCCAUAAACUGCUCUCAAAACUGUGCCCCUUGAGUAUCGGAGAGGCAAGCGGAAUUCCUAGUGUAGCGGUGAAAUGCGUAGAUAUUAGGAGGAACACCAGUGGCGAAGGCGGCUUGCUGGACGACAACUGACGCUGAGGCGCGAAAGCGUGGGGAGCAAACAGGAUUAGAUACCCUGGUAGUCCACGCUGUAAACGAUGAAUACUAGGUGUGGGAGGACUGACCCCUUCCGUGCCGCAGUUAACACAAUAAGUAUUCCACCUGGGGAGUACGACCGCAAGGUUGCAACUCAAAUGAAUUGACGGA